GCUGAACUUAAGCAUAUCAAUAAGCGGAGGAAAAGAAACCAACAGGGAUUGCCUUAGUAGCGGCGAGUGAAGCGGCAAUAGCUCAAAUUUGAAAUCUGGCACCUUCGGUGUCCGAGUUGUAAUUUGAAGAAGGUAUCUUUGGUUUUGGCUCUUGUCUAUGUUCCUUGGAACAGGACGUCACAGAGGGUGAGAAUCCCGUGCGAUGAGAUGCCCAAUUCCAUGUAAAGUUCCUUCGACGAGUCGAGUUGUUUGGGAAUGCAGCUCUAAGUGGGUGGUAAAUUCCAUCUAAAGCUAAAUAUUGGCGAGAGACCGAUAGCGAACAAGUACUGUGAAGGAAAGAUGAAAAGAACUUUGAAAAGAGAGUGAAAAAGUACGUGAAAUUGUUGAAAGGGAAGGGCUUGAGGUCAGACUUGGUUUUACCAGGCCAGCAUCAGUUUGGAUGGCAGGAUAAUAGCUUAGGAAUGUGGCACUGCUUCGGUAGUGUGUUAUAGCCUGGGUUGAUACUGCCUGUCUAGACUGAGGACUGCGUCUUUGACUAGGAUGCUGGCAUAAUGACCUUAAGCCGCCCGUCUUGAAACACGGA
rnacentral:rRNA from 1 species